UACAGAGGAGCCAAGCGUUGUCCGGAUUUACUGGGCGUAAAGCGUGCGCAGGCGGUUGUGCAAGACAGAUGUGAAAUCCCCGGGCUCAACCUGGGAAUUGCAUUUGGGACUGCACGGCUAGAGUGUGUCAGAGGGGGGUAGAAUUCCACGUGUAGCAGUGAAAUGCGUAGAGAUGUGGAGGAAUACCGAUGGCGAAGGCAGCCCCCUGGGAUAACACUGACGCUCAUGCACGAAAGCGUGGGGAGCAAACAGG
rnacentral:rRNA from 1 species